rnacentral:rRNA from 1 species
GGCUAACGCUGGCGGCGUGUCUUAGCCAUGCAAGUCGAGCGGACUUAUGGGGUAACUUAUAAGUCAGCGGCGGACGGCGGAGUAACACGUAGCUAACCUACCCUCUGGACGGGGAUAACCUACCGAAAGGUGGGCUAAUACCCGAUGUAGUCAUCCUGUAUAGGGGUGAUGAAAGGUGGGCUUCUGUUUACAAGCUCAUGCUGGAGGAGGGGGCUGCGGCCUAUCAGGUAGUUGGUAGGGUAAUAGCCUACCAAGCCGAUGACGGGUAGCCGGCCUGAGAGGGUGACCGGCCCGAGGGGCACUGAGAUACGGGUCCCACUCCUACGGGAGGCAGCAGGCUAGAAAUUUGGGCAAUGGGGGAAACCCUGACCCAGUGACGCCGCGUGCAGGAAGGAGCCCUUCGGGGUGUAAACUGCUGUCGUGUAGGGAGAAGGGUACUAAGGUGAACAAUCUUAGUACUUGACGGUACUACAGGAGGAAGCCCAGGCUAACCUCGUGC